rnacentral:rRNA from 1 species
GAUGAACGCUAGCGGCAGGCCUAACACAUGCAAGUCGAACGGUAACAGGGAUUGCUUGCAAUCCGCUGACGAGUGGCGCACGGGUGCGUAACGCGUAUACAAUCUACCUUUAACUGGGGGAUAGCCUUUAGAAAUGAAGAUUAAUACCCCAUAGUCUUUAGAAGUGGCAUCACUUUUAAAGUAAAGAUUACGGUUAAAGAUGAGUAUGCGUCCUAUUAGUUAGUUGGUGUGGUAACGGCACACCAAGACAACGAUAGGUAGGGGCCCUGAGAGGGGGACCCCCCACACUGGUACUGAGACACGGACCAG